rnacentral:rRNA from 1 species
UACGGAGGAUGCAGGCGUUAUCCGGAAUGAUUGGGCGUAAAGCGUCCGCAGGUGGCUGUGUAAGUCUGCUGUUAAAGAGUGAGGCUCAACCUCAUAAAAGCAGUGGAAACUACACAGCUAGAGUGCGUUCGGGGCAGAGGGAAUUCCUGGUGUAGCGGUGAAAUGCGUAGAGAUCAGGAAGAACACCGGUGGCGAAGGCGCUCUGCUAGGCCGCAACUGACACUGAGGGACGAAAGCUAGGGGAGCGAAUGGG